GCGAUAAGUUGUGCAUCGUCACCGUGUCAUAGCGUGGGGGAUGGAACCGGGGCCUGCCCCAGGCUGAGAAGCCCCCCCGACACCCCCCCAGCUCGGCCAAGCAUACGCUUAAAAGGCAGGAAGAAGCGCUCGCGGUCAGCACCCUGGACUCCAGAUGGCCUGCACACAGGCAGCAUUCAGCCUAGUCCCCUUUGUUUCCCGAGCAGGGCAGGAUGGCGGCAGCAUCCUGGCCCCACCCGCUGGGUGUCAAGUAGUCCCUUGCCCCGCGCUCCCCAGCUGGGACAAUCAGAAGUGUCUCCAGAUGUUGGCCGAUGUCCCCUUGGGAGCAGAAUACCCCGAGCUGGGAACCAGAGGUCCCUGGUGAAGGCCCUGACCACACCAGUUCCUCGGGAGCGUUUCCAGAGCCCCAUGUGCGGGCGGUGCGUCAGUCCUUACAGUGGUCUAUCUCGUCUCCCUUCCCGCUGCGACUGCACAUGGUGCAGAAGUCGUGCUGCUGAGGACGGCCUCAGAGGCCGAGGUCUGCAGCCAGCACGGGGGUGGGUGGUGGUGACGAGCUCUGGUUGGGGGGUUCUCGUGACCCUUGGCUCUGCCUGUCCUUAGGCGGAACCUGUGGUUUCCAGGGUGUCACCAGAGUGCACGCCGGCCUCUGCUUUGUCACUUCCUGCCCUGGGCUCCAGGGAAAGACUCUGGACAGCAUAAGUGGCCGUCCUUGACCCUGAACUUGCCUCUCGGUUUCGGGGCAGGUGGGGCAGGGUGGAGGCCCCGGCUUUGAGGGACGGAGGUUUUGGAGUUUCUGGGGCGGGGGAGCGGCCGGGCCUGGGGUCAGCUGGGGGCCGUGGCCCUGCCCGAGGCCCUGCCCGAGGCACGGGGCUCUGACUACAUUAGGAUAAAGUAUGCGGCCUGUGCUGCUGGGCGGGCCGCGGGGGCUCUCCACAGCGGAUUCCUGCGCUUCAAGGGUGACGCCGUGUUUACCCGGCAGUGGGUGAUGGAAGCCAGGCCCAGGAGGCCGGGGCCACUGGGGAUGCCGUCUGGUGGCCUAUGGGACCUGGCAUCUCUCACAUCCCCCUCGCGCACUGUCCUAAAACAGCCGCGGUGGGCGCUCAGCAUUUUCCAUCUCAGAUGGUUGGUGGGCGCCUCGCCUGUGUCUCCUCCAGUGGACAGGUGUCCACGUGUGCACAGGUGUCCACGGGCGAGUCUCUGUCAUCCUUACGCUGUGUCUCCAGAGCGGGGGACUUGGCACAUGGUGCACCUCGUGAAUCUGCAGAGGAGGGGAGGAAGGCUUGAAUGAACCCAGGAGCCGUCUUGCCUGGACGGAAGCCUAACCCCGUCACCCAGAGCAAGAAGGGGGCAGGUUUUGAGGGACACGAAACCAAAAGGUCGAGGCAGGUACCUGAGAGCAUGGCUGGGGGUUGCAGGCACGGCUGGAUCUAGAGGCUUCCAAGGGGAUGUUGGGGUCACUCGCUGUCUCUCAACUCUGCUUUCUCCAUCGUGGUUUCUUUGCCCCUCAGCCACCCCUACAGCAGA
rnacentral:lncRNA from 1 species